rnacentral:rRNA from 1 species
UAGAGUUUGAUCCUGGCUCACGGACGAACGCUGGCGGCGUGCCUAACACAUGCAAGUCGAGCGGGAUUCUAUUGUCAGAGAUUUCGGUCAAAGACAAUAGAUGAGAGCGGCGGACGGGUGAGUAACGCGUGAGCAAUCUGCCCUGUGGAGGGGGAUAGCCUCUGGAAACGGAGAUUAAUACCGCAUAACACUGAUUUAUCGCAUGACUAAUCAGUCAAAACUACGGUGCCACAGGAUGAGCUCGCGUCUCAUUAGCUAAUUGGUAGGGUAAAGGCCUACCAAGGCGACGAUGAGUAGCCGACCUGAGAGGGUGAUCGGCCACACUGGAACUGAGACACGGUCCAGACUCCUACGGGAGGCAGCAGUGGGGAAUAUUGCGCAAUGGGGGAAACCCUGACGCAGCAACGCCGCGUGAGUGAUGAAGGCUUUCGAGUCGUAAAACUCUGUCUUCGGGGACGAUAAUGACGGUACCCGAGGAGGAAGCCCCGGCUAACUACGUGCCAGCAGCCGCGGUAAUACGUAGGGGGCAAGCGUUGUCCGGAAUCACUGGGCGUAAAGGGCGCGUAGGCGGUUUGUUAAGUCAGGUGUGAAAGUUUUCAGCUUAACUGGAAAAGUGCACUUGAAACUAACUUACUUGAGUACUGGAGAGGUAAGCGGAAUUCCUAGUGUAGCGGUGAAAUGCGUAGAUAUUAGGAAGAACACCGGUGGCGAAGGCGGCUUACUGGACAGAGACUGACGCUGAGGCGCGAAAGCGUGGGGAGCGAACAGGAUUAGAUACCCUGGUAGUCCACGCCGUAAACGAUGAGUAUUAGGUGUUGCCGAGAGGCAGUGCCGCAGUUAACACAAUAAAUACUCCGCCUGGGGAGUACGGUCGCAAGACUGAAACUCAAAGGAAUUGACGGGACCCCGCACAAGUAGCGGAGCAUGUGGUUUAAUUCGAAGCAACGCGAAGAACCUUACCAGGUCUUGACAUCCUCUGACGACGCUAGAGAUAGUGUUUUCCUUUCGGGGACAGAGAGACAGGUGGUGCAUGGUUGUCGUCAGCUCGUGUCGUGAGAUGUUGGGUUAAGUCCCGCAACGAGCGCAACCCUUGUGUUUAGUUGCCAGCGGUAAGGCCGGGCACUCUAAACAGACUGCCGUAGAUAAUACGGAGGAAGGUGGGGAUGACGUCAAAUCAUCAUGCCCCUUAUGACCUGGGCUACACACGUGCUACAAUGGGAUGUACAGAGGGUAGCGAAAUAGUGAUAUGGAGCCAAUCUCAAAAAACAUCUCUCAGUUCGGAUUGCAGGCUGCAACUCGCCUGCAUGAAGUCGGAGUUACUAGUAAUCGCAAAUCAGAAUGUUGCGGUGAAUGCGUUCCCGGGGUUUGUACACACCGCCCGUCACACCACGAAAGUCGGCAACACCCGAAGUCAGUGAGCUAACCAAACGGAAGCAGCUGCCUAAGGUGGGGUUGAUGAUUGGGGUGAAGUCGUAACAAGGUAGGCAAUGCG